AUUAUUGGGCAUCAAUUUAAAAUGUAUCAUGCUGGCCGGGCGGGGUGGCUCACGCCUGUAAUCCCAGCACUUUGGGAGGCCGAGGCGGGUGGAUCACGAGGUCAACAGAUCGAGACUAUCCUGGUCAACAUGGUGAAACCCUGUCUCUACUAAAAGUACAAAAAAAUUAGCUGGGCAUGGUGGUGCGUGCCUGUAAUCCCAGCUAUUCAGGAGGCUGAGGCAAGAGAAUUGCCUGAAUCCAGGAGGCGGAGGUUGCGGUGAGCCGAGAUCGCGCCAUUGCACUCCAGCCUGGGUAACAAGAGCAAAACUCCAUCUCAAAUUAAAAAAAAAAAAAAAAAGUAACAUGCUUUGGAAAUCUAUUUAAAUACAAGCAAUUAUUCAUUCUAUAUUCUAAAAUGUCUAAUUUUAACUUUUAAUAAUGACAUGAAGUCACCAAGUACACUUUGCUACAAAAUAAAUUUACUUUUAGUCUGCUAGAAGAUUUUCUGUGAGUUUUAGAAUGAGCAAAAUACCAUUGGACAAUUCUUCUUAGUUGAUUAGACCCAAAGCAGCUCUACCCUAAAAAAAUGAUGUGCCACUAUUGAAGGCUUUCCAAAGAAGUUGCUGCUGGCUCUCAGGGCAAUUUCAGUUAUUAGCAGAUGUAUGCUCUUGUAGGUAUGUAAGCACCUCUUCAUAUCACUUUAUCACUCAUAAAGUGUCACUGUGUAAACUACUUUCUGGGAGGAAGCCAAGCAUUUUUAGAAGCUGAGUAACUCUUUUGGGCAACUAGAGUUCUAUUCAUUUCACUGAAACAGUGAAUAGUGUAUGAACUGGAAUAAUCUGAUUCAGUAAGUAUUAAAUAAUUCAUUCUCUGUAUAAUUUUACCUGUGGUGUGACUAUAAAGUAUGGAGGUUGGUUUUAUCUGCACAUUUGAACAUAAAAUCUCCCAUAACUGCUGUUUGUAUAGAUAGUUUUGACAUAGUAUAUGUUUACUCCAACAAUGACUCCAGCAAUUUCAAAAUCUUGGGAAUCGUCUUUUGGAAUGAACUUUAAAAUAAGAUUAUUGGUCAAACAAGAAAUUCUCCAGAAAUUUUAAGCAUAAACCCCUUUGUCUAGACUAAAAUGUGAUUUCCUGGUUUCUGCGCUAUUUUUUGUUGUUGUUGUUUCUUAUUAAAAUUGGGUAACCUACAGUUGUUCAAAAAAAUUACUUGCAUGUGUCAAUUAUUUGUCAUAACAGAAGGUUACUCUAAAUUAGAAGUUACAUAAAUGUUUUGAGGUUUAGCAGCCUCAUUUGAAUACAUUUAUAGAUAUCAGGCAGGAUGACAUUAUGAACACAGGCAUUUAACUGGUUCUUGCUCACUUCACCACCAAUAUAAUUAAUAGACUCUAAGCAUUAAAUCAGCACAAGUUUACGGGACUGGUGAAGAAAUUUUGAUAAAACUUUCAUGAAUUCAGUACUAAUAGAAUCAUAUUAAAUGAAGUUACCAUAAAAUAGCAGUGUCUCCAGGGAGAAAAACAGGCUACAUACAAAUAAAGAAACUUUAAGUCUAAGGCAUCUCUUUCAUCAUUUUAAAUGAAAGAAGUUAACAGAGAUUGCCUUCUAUCUUUUGAGAGGAAAUUUUUGUUAUCUCCAAAAUCUCUAGCAAGCCAAGUUGUUAGUAAAACCCAUGUACACAUUGCUAAGUACGUAGGGUCUGAGAGAGUAUGCAUCUUCCUGAAGAUGUAUUAACUCAACAGCGACCUGGCUGCCUGAGAUGAACCUUGGCUAGAAGAGAUAAAUGUUGUGUAGCUCACCGUAAGGACUUUUUCUUACACUUAUCCAAAAGCAGCAGGGAUAAUGAAGGACUAAAACUCAAAAGCUGUAGAAGAUGGAUGCAGCCAUAGUUGACAUACUCCCAAGUACACAUACACUGUCCAGAAGCCUAAUAAAAGAGCUUCAUGGGAAGAAGAAGAAGAGAAGAAAAGCAGCAGAGAAAGCACUUGGCAAGAGGGCUCAGUCACAGCAGAUUUUAGAAGCACUACCAAAUGUACCUUUCGAAAGAUGAGAGGAACAAACAAAGAGAAAGGAUUGACUGUAAGGAGAAAAGUGACCUCUUGGUGAAUGAGAGACAAAUUACACAAAGGCUACUCCUACAAAAAGGAAGAUCACUGUUUUGAGCAACCUACCUAGAACUUCCCUUCUUCAACCCGACAGCCCCAUUUUUUUUCUAGUAAGAUAACAACAUUGUCUCAAUUGCAUUAUGACUUCUUCUGCAGCCCAUUUAAACUUUUGUGGUUUUCUGUUCUCACUUGUCUGGAGAAAAGAUGGACUACUUCUGCUAGGUUGAACGAAGCACAGACUUCGUGUCAUUUCCUUCCAUAUCUAUCAUCAUGGGUGGCAGCAAGAGGAGAGCAAUUCAGCCUUUCUCUACUGAAGCCCUUCUAUCACACUGUGUGCAAAGCUCCAGGCAGACAAGCUGGAGACUUGCAUGUUCUCCAAAGACUGCAGUAUAAAACUGCUCCUGCAAGAUCGGGUCCUUGCUAAUUACAAUACUAAUAUUAACUUUUUCAUUCAUGGUAGAUUUUCAUUCAUUUCUUAAGGCUAAUACUAACUGCAACUUAAAAAAAAUAAUGCUAAAUAGGGCAAGCAAUCUGGGAACCCAAAUGGUAUAUUCGCCUCCUGAUACACAUUCUCUCAUUAGGCACAUGCACAGAGGAGGGGGAAAAAAAAUCUCUCCAAAGAGCUGGCACUGCAAAUUAUUUUUUUUAUAAAUUAUAUUUGUUCUGGGGUUAUUGAAUAUACUAUUUUUUUAUUUAUAAAAUGAGAGUUUGGGGAUAAUCGACUUGGUAAGCAGUCUCAAUGGAGAAUUUAAAAUGAGGGAAAACAUGGUGAAGAGGAAAUAAUAAGGGUAGUGAAGUACUAGAUCUUGAAAAGUAAUCUGGGAUAAACCAAAGGGACAUUUAAUAAACAUGAUCUUUGUUAAAUUUGCUUUGGAUCUAGCUAGCAAAAAUUCCAGAAAUAUUUUGCUAGUUAAGAAAAUAACCGCUUUCCUGAAAUGAUUUCCCUGUCUGGUCUGUUACUUUUCUUCUAGCUGCAAUUAUCAUAUAAAAAUGUUAGCUAAAAUAAAAUAAAUUUAUCUUAAUUGGAUAAAAAGAGGCUAUACUUUUAUUUCUUUGUUUAUUAAUUUGGCAAGAAUUUGUUGACAUGUCCAUCUAUAUAAGCAGUCAUUUCCUUGUUAGGAAAAUCAAAAUUCUCACUUGCCUGUAUUAUGAACCCCAGGGAUUUCUUGCCACAGGAUUUGUUUCCGUUAUAAUUCAAAAUUGAAUUUUGGGCUUCUCCUUCCUAGAAAUGUUUUUCUGUCAUUAUCAGAAGUCAAAUUAGCAGUGCAUUUUAUUAUAGAAUGGGCUAAGUUUGAAGGGAUUAAAUAGAGUAGUAUAGGUGUUAAAUUCUGGCUUGGGUUCAAGUAAAUGUUAACUAAAUUGAGAUGGUAACCAUGUGUUCUGUCCUUAACCCAAGGCUCCGGAGCAUAUGCUACUGUGUAUAUGUGUGGCACCCAGAUGCGGGACUUUGUCUUUUCUGGUUAACCAGUGUAUUCAGAUUUUGAGGACAGUAUUUGGAGGCUGAAAGAACCCACAGUUUUCACAUAUGCAGAGAUGGGUUCCCUUAGCACUUACACUCAUCCAGGGUAACCUCAGCCCUCUGGACUUGAUUCAAAAUGUUUCUUUCCAUUCAGUAUCUAGUCAUUUUCAGGUUUUCCACAGCUGGAGAAAACCCUAUUAUGUGCUCAGUCUGAUGAUUACUCAGGGCUCAGAUACAGAGAUACUGAUGUGGCAGGUCUUAAAGGGCCUUGUGCUCCACGUUGUCAGGUUUCUUUUACCAGCAAUUAAAAAUAUAUGCAUCAACAGAAAGGAGAGGGAAAUAGAAACAAUAGUACUUACUCUUACUGUUAAUAUGUACCUUAUGAAAAUUGAAAACAUAAUUAACUCACUGCUUUUAUCAUAUAAUAAAAUAUACACCAUUAUUAAACCUACUCAGAAGUAAGUUGCUUGUCAAAUUAUAGGUUCUGAAAUAUGACCAAACGCAGCAGAAGCCCAUAAAGACAAGCACUUAUUUGAUGCCUAGGAUUGUGGAAUGUCAAGUAAAUUAAAGGAAAAUAGACCUCAGAAGAAUAAAUAUGUCAGUUAAAACAUGAAUGUUCUUUUGCAAUCAGUCAAUUUCUAGUCUAGGCUAUCAAUGCUACCUUUUCCACUAGUCCUAAUUUUGGCUGUAGGACCCUCCACUGGAGUGCUACCUGUUUUUGUAUUUCAUGCAAUAUUACUUCCUUUUUUAUUGCUGCUUCCAGCUAUUGCUUUCAAAUGAAAAUACAUGAACAGCAGUAGUGAAACAACCUUCUCAGGAAGAGGACAGCAGAUGAGACCUUCUUUUUCUGUUCCCGGGAAGCGGCACUUACUCAUCCCUGUAGUGUCAGCAUUCCUCUGGAAGAAUACCAUACACUCUUUAAAUACAUGUGAGGAUUGUGGUAAAGUGGACCAUAUUUGUAGCAAAAUAUAGGUACCCUAAAUUUAAUAAGGGAUUAACACCAACAACAACACAAGCCUUAAUGGGAGAACUUCACUCUAAAAACCAUUUCAUAAGGCAUUGGACUUAGAUUUACAAGUGUGUUCCAAAUUCUUCAAGAAACAGAUGUUUCCAACUAGUUAAACUCUUUGAGAGGUUAUUCUGCGAAUUAAAGCAUCACAUCAAAGCUAAACUGAUAAAAUAUAAGGAGUUCAAAAACACUCUGGCACAAUCUUACAUAUGAAUUCUCAUAAAAAAUAAAUAAAAUAUUAAUGACUGUAAAGGCAUUUAUACUAAAAUGAAUCACACAAUAAAAACACUGUUGGAACUAAUAUUUUGUAACAUUUCUAAAGGAUCACACUAAUGACAUUAUGAAAAUAAAGAAUAGAAAU